AUGAUUAUAGAAACAUUAGUUUAUGUCAAUAUGGACACAGAUCCUUCAAAGCGUUGGAAUGCUCUUUUUGACAGCUUCAAACCCCAUAUUCCGUCCAUUGAUUCGGAUUCUUCAUCGUCUGAAAAUGAAGAAGACAUUUCCAUCUUUCGGCGACCAGUAGCCCUUCUUCCUAAACACACAGAGUGCCUAGAGUGUCUGUCAUUGGAGGACUCUGAAAUAGAGGAGCUUCUAAUAUCUAUGGCACAGCCACAACUGUGUUUGACAGAGAAGACCAUUUGCCCUCAUAGAGAGCCUACAACUGAACCCCAUGGAGUUUAUCAAGCUACUGAUUUAGCCCAGCAGGGCACACUCCAGGAGCUCAGUCCCAUAGGUAAUAAGGUAAAUGAGAUAUGCAGCCAUGACUCUAUUAGAAAUGCAGCUUGGGCAGGAGGCCAUCCACGCAGCAACGUUCCUGUGGAGAUGAAAGGGGACACCUCGGCGCACCACAGCCAUGGCACACUAAACAGACAAAAAACAACUGAGUCCACAUCGCCACACACUUCACACAACACAGCUUGUGAAGAAAACACAUUGGAGUCACUCAAUGCUUUGAGAAAGACACCGAGAACUGAACCAAAUGGCUCUAUGAAAAAGCCACUACAAAGUAGUCAAACUGUUUUGUCUUUUGAGCCACUGGAGCACUGGGAUCUGGACCAGAUUCUUCUGACUCUUCAAACAGAUAGACUCUUUUUAGGAGGCAGUAUGUCUGACGAACCUAUGGAAAUACAACCAGAUGGAGACAAUGUAAGGUCACAGGAUACUAUAUUGGAGAGGCUGUCUGCUUUCUGUAGGACACCGUCAUGUGGAGAUGCUGAAGAGAAAAGAGAAACUGCGCCAGAUAAAACUUCUGGUGUGCCUCAGAAAGCACCUGUCCAACAUCCUACCAAUUUCAGACAAAAUGGUGGAUGGAGAAAGUCUUUCAAAAGGAUGGCAUUUGAGUUGCAGCCAAGCCGCCAGGAAGCGCCCACCGUUUAUAUUGAUUUACGUAACCCUGAGCCUCCCACGAACACAACCAGACCAUGUAACAGCACUUCAUCACAAUCCAUGAAGCUGACCAACCCCAACCUACAUGACGAAAACCAAUCUGAUAAGAAAACAGACAAUAAUAUACGGGAAGUAACUGGAAAGAGCCUGUUACUCAGAAUGUUACGCGAGGCGAACAGAAACAGGAGAGAGCCGGACAGGAAAUAUCCAGUUCCAGCAGAUUCUACAUGCAGAACCCCCAGAAGAGUGUCCUUGAAGGACAAGCUGCCUGAGGCUAAAAAUGAGAUAACAUCUCUGCUUCCAGAGGUGGACAACCAAACCACAAUGAAGCGUGACCAAAACAGGCCGCCAGUUGAGAGAACACCUGCUUUUCAGCAGAGUGCUACUACCGGGCAGCCUAAGAAACAAAGUGACCGAGAGCAGAGAGAGCAACAGAAACAGAGAGCACAGCGCCAGCAACAGCUCCAGAAACAGCUGGAAAGCUUUAGACCAACAAGGUCUGCUGGAGACAGGGAGCCUGCCGCUGAGAAGACUGAUGUUCUUUAUGACACUGAGGCCUCUCACCUACAAUCAGUUAAUACUCUGCCUGCUGAUAUGGAGGAUAAGGAGUGCUUGCUGCUGACUGUAUGCCUCUCCAGUCCCGGCCUGGUAGCCAGCAGCAGUCAUCAUUGGAAAGCACCAACAGUGGAGUCAGCCACAACCAAAUCCCAUAUAUACAAUGCUCUGGUUGCUUGGUUUCUGUCUUUGGUUGGAGCACCAGACCCUCAAGGGGGUGAUGACAGGGCUGCUGUACCUUUCUGGGUGGCCGGCCUACAGCAGCUGUGGACAGAGGAUGGACUGGCUCUACACAUCUGUGCUGUGUCCCACGGAGAGAGCCUACAACUUGUCCGAAAACCCCGGGUGGGUGUGGAUAAGGGUCAUAGUGUGUUCCAGCAGCGUGUCUGCAGGUUCCUCUCUCAGACCUCCCUUAGAGCCAUCACCCAUUGGCUGCCGCAGCUCAGGAGCCUGUUAGACCAAGAGGCCUAUCCCCCAACCGUCCACAUACCUGCCUCCUGCCUGGACAGUUUUAUCUCUGUCAACUCAGACAAAAUGGCUGUGAAGAGGACCUUCGGUCUGAACCCAGGCUUCUACUGGCAGACUGUGGAGACUCAGGAGCUCAGCUGUCAGAGGCCUGAGACCAUGUGCACUCAGCAGCUACACACAGAGCUAGCUGUUGCUCUGGGAUACACGUCUUUGUUCCUGCAUCCCCUGGUGGUUCACCACACCCUCCAGCUUCUCCACACCUCAGGCCUGGAUGUGUGUGGCCUCCGCCUCCUUUACCCUCCUCCUGGCCUUCUGACCAACAGCGCCGGCAGGGUAUCCUACGGGCAGGGAGAUGAUGGGGCCGAUGAGCCCGUCCUUGCCCUGGCUGUCCGAGGGCCUCACGCCUGCACUGUGUGGCAGGAUGUAACAGGCCCUUCAGACCCCCUGCUGGCUAGGAAGACAGACCCGGCAUCCAUCAACGCCCUGCACUACAGCAGCAAGAACUUGCCCCUCCUCUACUCCCCUCGCCUGGCCAGCAGUGUGCACAGGGAACUGGUCACGUGGUUCGCAGGGAGAGUUCCAGGGAAUCAUUUCCAGAACCCUGACCAGGCUCCAACUGACAGCUCUGCCCCUGGUGAUGGAGAGGGAAGCAGCCCCUUGUAUUUAUCCAGGUCCUCUACCACCCUGUGUGCUACUGUUAAAGUGGACGUGUUCUUGAUAGUGUCUCCAGCGGUGGCGCCGUGCUGCUACAGCCGGGUUCUGUCUGUGUGUGAGGGCAGAGGGUUCAGUCUGAGGGGGGUCCAGAGGCUGCAGCUCCCCACCAAACGAACCCAGGCACUGGGACUCACCAGUCAGCAGGUGUCAGUGUUCUGCAGUCCGCCCACUGUUACUGUGGAUGAGAAGAAGGUUGAGCUGUCUUCCCACUGCCUGGUCUUACUUCUGAGGAGAGAGAGUGGCCUGCGUCACUGUGCCAGCCUGCCUGCAGCCCUUAUGAAAGAGUUGGAGAAGCAGAGGUUGUUGGGAUGUAUCCACAUCAGACUGUCAGAUGAAGGAAAGCUGGACCCGAGCAGCUGCUUUCACAUGUUGCCCUACAGAGAGAGCCUGCUCCAUAGCUUUGGUGGGCGAAUGUGGGCCGUACCCAACCCCUGCAAUGUGGUGCUGUCCAAUCACAGGUGUCCAUCCAACCCAGAGCUGGAGCAGGUGGUGGUGCUUACGCUGGCUGGAAGGGACAUCAGUCAGGGCCUGAGCCUGCUACACAGGCUCUGGACAGGGGACACAACAGGCGAUGUCGUGGAGGAUGGAUUCGAGCUGCUGGCCCUGAAGUGGCUGCCCACAUUGUCCCCGCAGCAGGCGCGGGAGGUGAGCCCCUAUGAGGUAGGAGACCGGCUGUGGCAGAGCAGCCUGGUGGGCCUGGCCUCCUCCCCUGCCCUGGUGUGUGCUCUGAGGAGGGUAGACGCCUUCGCCACCCUACGGCGGCUCCUGCCACGGGACUACCCCGGGAACCUGAACAUACUGUUGUCUCCCACUCCUGAACUGGCCUUCAGACAAGCGUCCCUCUUCUUCUCCCUGGGAGACAUGAUCCCUGAUCACAGUGUGCGCCCAUUACUGAAGUUCCUACCUCCACCUCGCAUUAAUGUAGCUGGUUCCCAGUGUGAGUCAUUGUUUAACUACAUGGUGCAGGGUCCCCAGCCGCUGGUCACACUGUGUCUGUUCAAGCCUGGAGUGUGGAGCCAUGCUCUGGGGAAAAUCCUCAGCAAAGUCCAGCGGAGUGGCUUCACUGUGGUGGGCCUGCAUGUGCUGGUUCUGGACAAUAGCACAGCUGUGUCACUGGCGUCUGCUGCAGAGCAUCAGGCAACUCACAUAUUCCUACCUACCUAA
ensembl:lncRNA